CUCUGCUAAAGGAGAAAAUGGAAGACAAGCGUAUCACGAGAGCGUAAGCUCAGGAUUUCACAGGGUGAAACCUGUCCUUGUAGGAUUUUGGUUGGUUGGUUUGUUUCUGUUUUCUUUUUGUUUUGUUUUCCCCAAGCCAAGCUCCCGUAAUCCCAGUUUCCUAAUGAAACGGUCUAAAAACCCCCAUCUGUUACAUACCCUGGAAGCCAGGGGAACCAACAGAUAAGAGCCGCUACCCUCUGUAAGGACUUGAGCUCCAAAUAGUUUAUUUGUAUCACAAAGAGGCACAAGAAGGCAAGAAACAGGUCCAUGGGCUGCACGGCCGUUACAGCAACAGCACCACCGAGGAGUCGGUGUACGCGGAAAAACCACGGCGGCAAAAGAAGGCACCGGGUUGUGCCCCCGGCACGUCACCCGCAGCCCCAAAGUCCGAACAGCGGCCCACUUGGCACCAGAUGUUUGACCAGUUCAGGAAAGCGAAGCAAGGAACCCAAGGGAGAAGGAAACAUCUCCCGUCCUGUGCCGCUCUGCUCGGGUGACAACCAGGGACACGCUCUGCACGCUCCCGAACGGCGUGAGAAGGGAGGGACAACAUAUCGGCCCUUACCUGUCAGGAACGGCGGCAAGUCUGCUCAAAACUGGCGAGCUUCUUAUAAACGAUGUGGAAUAAAUGAGCAGAGGUGGAAAGAAAAACCCAACACCCUUGGAAUGUCACCGGUGUGUUUGGUUUUCCCUGGAGGAAUGCAGUUACUCACCUGGGCAGGGCUCUCCGGGAGCCUCUCCAGCCUCCUCCUCCUGCUCAUCUGCGGCGCACAGCUCCUCCUCUUGCUUGAUAUGGAUUAUGCUGUCUUCUGGUCAUAGGAAACAACGCUAUUAAUUCCAGACACAGAAUUAACGCCAAUUCUCGUCCCACCCCAGGCACGGCAGCUCUGUUCUAGAUCACUUCUAACAAAAACCUCGUUCUCGCUGACCGCAGUCUCUGAAACAGACCUAAAACAUUUGUCACAAAACCCUCAGCAGAUGUUUGAGCUUCAGAAACACGCAAGAGUUUCACGCAAGUGUAACGUCCACGUUGUCGCGGUGCCCAUUAGCAAAUGAAAAGGUGUUCUGCGUGGCCUGGGAGAGCACAGCGCCAUCCGAACUCCUGUUCCUGGGUUCUGCUUCUCCUCUGGCUCUGCUGGGGUUAUGCCGGUUCCUUUCCAGUCACUCUCCAUGAAACACACACCACUCCUAACCCUUCAGAAAAGCUCCAGCGAGGGUAAUGAAUGAAAACAUUAAAUACAUACGGAAAAACAGACGGACUAAUGCUCAGCACUUUACCUUUAUACCUCCAGCACAACCAAUGAGUCAGAGGAACACUUUGCGUGUGCAAAAGCAACUGCACUGUGCAGGUUUGUGCACGCGGAAUAGCAAACCCUCCUGACAGCCUUCGGUCCGGCAAACCGAGCGUCACCCCACGCCGACCGCCCCGCGACACGGCCCGACGGCGAGGGGACCGCGGGGGCGACGCGCGCAGCUCAGCACCCGGGAGAGGGAGAAAUGGGGUUCGAGAGGCAGUUUUGAGUAUGGAUUCCUGGCUCUUUGGCUAAUCUUCCCCCUGGAUGGACUUUUCAAAUACAGGUCUUUGCCUUUUUCGGUGUUAUCUCAGCCUGGGUGUCCGGCCUUGCCGUGGGGCUGCCGCCACCCUCCAGCCUACGCUACAGCAGGGCGGGAAGAGGUUCCGUGCUCAGGAGUGCUACCCAAGGAUGAGGAAAGCUCAGCGCUGGCUCAAGUAGGAUGUGAAGACUCCAUGAUGCAUCUCAGGGUGGGUGUAGACCUUGUGCUCCCCAAACCCUUCCUCCUUCCCCAUCACACCUUCCCCUGUAGCUCCUGCUCUUCUUCAUCACCCUAUCUGCGCACAUGGAGGGUUUAUCUUCUUCCUCUUGGCCCUGGAAGAGCAGCGCGUGUCUGUAUCACUCAACAUCUCUUCUUGGAUUCGGGGUUGAGUUUUUAAAAUGUAAGCAGGAUGAAUCUCAAAAUAGCUCUGAGAUCUGUUGCAAAUAUACAAAAUUGUCCCUGAAACACAGGGGCUAGAACGGGGAAACCGUGACUCAGUGUGCAAAACGCUGCUCCAUCUGCACCACCCAAGGCAGCAUCGAGAUGAAACACGGAGCACAUGGAGCGCUUCUGGUGCUCAGCAGUUAACACGUGAAGUCUCCCAGUCACAAAUGAGAGGGUGCUGUUGAGAUGGCGUAACGCUCCCCAGCUCACGCUCCUCAAACACCCUCAUUUCGCUACCCAAACACCAAUUCUUUUACGGCUGUGGUUACGGAGACAUCUCUCAGAUGUGAACGUGACACCUUCUUCGUUUGCUCUUUAAAUAAUGUUUUAAACUACUAGAUGAUCUUUCAAGGUCCCUUCCAAUCCCUAAAACCCUGUGAUUCUGUGAUCUAAUAGUAACAAAGUGGUAGGAGGUCAGCACUAGACAGAUACACAAUAUUGCAAUGUGGGGAGACGUGGCAACGCGGCAAGACUUAUUUCUCGUCAUUGUCCUUUCGUAAGGCGCAGAAACAGCCCAGGAAAGGCACCCGAAGUGGUUUGCACAGUAAUGUGUGACCGCUGCCGAAGCGAUCCUUUAUGCAGCAGCAUCUUUGCAUCUUCAUCCCAGAACAAAUCCUCCUCCUCCUCCGCGCAGCCGAGCUGAACCGACGUCUCCGGCAGCGCCGCGGCGCUGGACACGCUCUGCGGGCGGCGCAUCGAUGGGAUCUGCCCGCCGCACGAGGACUGUACACUGAGCUUAUUCACAGCCUAUGUUUAGAUAAUCUUACCAUUCAGGCCCUGCUCGGGCGGCAGAAAACAAUGCUCCCGCUCAGGUCCCACAGUGCCCA